GACUUGGGAGCUGAAGACUCUCUCACAGCUCCUGUUUAUGCUCCAGGAGUUGGCAGUGAGUUUUCUCCCUGAUGUCUCCUUUUUUCACCCGUGGGAAACUUCCUGUGUUGACGGAGACUCUCACCUUGGCUCUUCCAUUCCAUGGUGUCCCCAUCCCUAGCAGCAACCUCUCUGACGCAGAGGACUGCAAUUCCAAAACCAAAUCCAUGCUGAGCCCCUCUGGGGGCUGUCUCCCCCGUGAAGACCCCUCAUUCUGUGAGGACAUCAUCCUUCUUGAAGUCACGACUUCCAGUGUGUGUUCUCCUCAUCUCGCCUAUCCAAGGCAUGUGGGGUUCUCAAAGGGAAAAGAGAUGGCCCAACCUAUGGAAGCUACUUCAGGACAACCCAUGGCAGGUCUACAAACUAGGUAUCACUGCGGCCUGGGCUGACGACAGUGACUUUAAAGAAUCUACUGCUCAUGAAAAUCUGCAUGGAGACAAGGGGUUGCUGGACAGGUGCCCCAAAGAUGAAACAAAACUUACUGAAAGCAAACUGGGUAGUCUUGUGGGACUGCUAAAGAUGUUUCGGGGAGUUCACAUGGGUGAUGAAUAAAUCCAGAAGGAUGACCAUGAAAAUCAAAACACUGACAAAGAAAAUCACAAAAACAUUCAGAGAAAGAAAAAAGAUGAGGGCUGGGAUUUCUUCAAACUUGCUCUGGUUGAAGACCUCAGGCUAAGCAGCUGUUCCCCUGCACACCUGGCUCAGGUCACUCACUCAGGGACAUGAGGUGUGUCUAGGCUCGCCCACGUGCAAACCAUCAGAAAAUACAGAUAUCAUCCCCGUCCCAGAGCUACCUGUGACGUGUAAGGAACAGGAGCUUCCCAAGACUGCAGGCAAGCUGAGCAGCAGCCAUAAGUCCGGCAUCACAGAGCCCUCAACCUCCUCAGCAUAGCUGGAGGACCAUGUCCCUAAAGCACAGAGCACUACCUGUAUGCAUGCGGGGCAGCCCUUCCUCUGGCUGCACAAGAGAGUUCUUCCCAUGUGACACAGAAGAUAGGACCCUGAGCAGGCCUGUAAAGAGCCAUACAAUCCCAGAAGGCCCCGCUCCUAUCAUAAACCCCUGCCACAUCAUUCUCAGGCACUCUGCCUAGCCUUGGCUGAAGAGCCCACUGACACCUACUAAAGUGGUUUCCAGAGAACAGAAUGGUGGGGAUGGGAAUCUGGAAUUAGUUCUCUGUUCUGGUCAGAUUUAAAGUUGAGUGUAGCUACUAGGAGGCAAAGAAGAAAGAAGAUUCAAAGGAUGGGAAGAGAGGCUGAGGUAGUUAUCACCUGACUCUCUCCCUGAUGGACCGUGGGCCAGCCAUAUUCCUCUGCCAAAGACCAUACCUCCUGUUGGAUGAACCUCACCUACAACCAUUGAUCUUGAGUUCUACAAAUUGCAUUGCCCCUUUGAUCCUUCAGGCCCACAGUUAGUAUUGGCUUCCUGCUGUUGGAAAGUUGGCC
ensembl:lncRNA